ensembl:snRNA U6 U6 spliceosomal RNA
GUGCUUGCUUCCACUGCACAUAUACUAAAAAUGAGAUGAUACAGAGAUUAGCAUGGCCCCUAAGCAAGGAUGACACGCAAAUUCAUGAAGUAUUCCACGUUAAG